rnacentral:rRNA from 1 species
AGAGUUUGAUCCUGGCUCAGAUUGAACGCUGGCGGCAUGCCUUACACAUGCAAGUCGAACGGUAACAGGUCUUCGGAUGCUGACGAGUGGCGAACGGGUGAGUAAUACAUCGGAACGUGCCCGAUCGUGGGGGAUAACGCAGCGAAAGCUGUGCUAAUACCGCAUACGAUCUACGGAUGAAAGCGGGGGACUCGCAAGGGCCUCGCGCGGACGGAGCGGCCGAUGGCAGAUUAGGUAGUUGGUGGGAUAAAAGCUUACCAAGCCGACGAUCUGUAGCUGGUCUGAGAGGACGACCAGCCACACUGGGACUGAGACACGGCCCAGACUCCUACGGGAGGCAGCAGUGGGGAAUUUUGGACAAUGGGCGAAAGCCUGAUCCAGCCAUGCCGCGUGAGUGAAGAAGGCCUUCGGGUUGUAAAGCUCUUUCGGUGGGGAAGAAAUUGCAUAGGUUAAUACCCUGUGUAGAUGACGGUACCUGGAGAAGAAGCACCGGCUAACUACGUG